rnacentral:rRNA from 1 species
GACGAACGCUGGCGGCGUGCUUAACACAUGCAAGUCGAACGGAAAGGCCCUGCUUUUGUGGGGUGCUCGAGUGGCGAACGGGUGAGUAACACGUGAGUAACCUGCCCUUGACUUUGGGAUAACUUCAGGAAACUGCGGCUAAUACCGGAUAGGAGCUCCUGCUGCAUGGUGGGGGUUGGAAAGUUUCGGCGGUUGGGGAUGGACUCGCGGCUUAUCAGCUUGUUUGUGGGGUAGUGGCUUACCAAGGGUUUGACGGGUAGCCGGCCUGAGAGGGUUACCGGCGACAUUGGGACUGAGAUACGGAGCAGACUGCUACGGGAGGCAGCAGUGGGGAAUAUGGCACAAUGGGCGGAAGCCUGAUGCAGAGACGUCGCGUGCGGGAUGCCGGCCUUCGGGUUAUAAACCGCUUUCGCCUGUGACGAAGCGUGAGUGACGGUAAUGGGUCAAGAAGCACCGGCUAACUACGUG